UUAAGUGAGGCCAGCUGAGAGAGGCGCUAAUUCACUAGCCCUGGUGUUCUUGGAAGAAGAGGACGAAGAAACCCAGCCCCUUCCUUCUCCACCAGAGAGGACGCAGCAAAAGCGGCCAUCUGCUGCCAAGAAGAGAGCUUGUACCAGAAACCUACCCCAACGGCCCCUUGCUUUGAGACUUGCAGACUCCAGAACUCUUAAAUGAAAUCGGAAACACAAGAUACAGUAUAGUCCAGAGUGCCAUCCAGGAUGCCACAUGACAGUAGAUCAUCCUGUCCCCUGGAGCUUCCCUUGGCAGUGACAGUUGGUCGUGCUGUCCUUGCUUAUCAAGACCUUGGAGGACUGGUCAGGUAUGU